CUGGGCGUAAAGCGCGCGUAGGUGGCUUGAUAAGCCGGUUGUGAAAGCCCCGGGCUCAACCUGGGAACGGCAUCCGGAACUGUCAAGCUAGAGUGCAGGAGAGGAAGGUAGAAUUCCCGGUGUAGCGGUGAAAUGCGUAGAGAUCGGGAGGAAUACCAGUGGCGAAGGCGGCCUUCUGGACUGACACUGACACUGAGGUGCGAAAGCGUGGGUAGCAAACAGGAUUAGAUACCCUGGUAGUCCACGCCGUAAACGAUGUCGACCAGCCGUUGGGUGCCUAGCGCACUUUGUGGCGAAGUUAACGCGAUAAGUCGACCGCCUGGGGAGUACGGCCGCAAGGUUAAAACUCAAAUGAAUUGACGGGGGCCCGCACAAGCGGUGGAGCAUGUGGUUUAAUUCGAUGCAACGCGAAGAACCUUACCUACUCUUGACAUCCUGCGAAUUUGGUAGAGAUACCUUAGUGCCUUCGGGAACGCAGAGACAGGUGCUGCAUGGCUGUCGUCAGCUCGUGUUGUGAAAUGUUGGGUUAAGUCCCGUAACGAGCGCAACCCUUGUCCUUAUUUGCCAGCGCGUAAUGGCGGGAACUCUAAGGAGACUGCCGGUGACAAACCGGAGGAAGGUGGGGACGACGUCAAGUCAUCAUGGCCCUUACGAGUAGGGCUACACACGUGCUACAAUGGUCGGUACAAAGGGUUGCCAACUCGCGAGAGUGAGCCAAUCCCGAAAAGCCGAUCUCAGUCCGGAUCGGAGUCUGCAACUCGACUCCGUGAAGUCGGAAUCGCUAGUAAUCGUGGAUCAGAAUGCCACGGUGAAUACGUUCCCGGGCCUUGUACACACCGCCCGUCACACCAUGGGAGUGGACUGCACCAGAA
rnacentral:rRNA from 1 species